ensembl:lncRNA novel transcript
GAAAGACAGUUCAGGCACCUGAGUGGUUACAUUAUCCCAAGCCAAAGAAGGAGAAGACAAGCUUGUGAGUUUCCCACGCUCCCUAUGAAAGUGAUGCCAUAUUGAUGUUUCAGCUCUGGGCAGGCUGUGGCAGGCCGAAGGGACCACCACGGAUGGGCUUUCAGCCAGGGUCUGCCCCACUGCCUUCAUUUCAUCUGUCGAAAAGC